GGGGAAUAUUGGACAAUGGGCGCAAGCCUGAUCCAGCCAUGCCGCGUGAGUGAUGAAGGCCCUAGGGUUGUAAAGCUCUUUUACCGGUGAAGAUAAUGACGGUAACCGGAGAAGAAGCCCCGGCUAACUUCGUGCCAGCAGCCGCGGUAAUACGAAGGGGGCUAGCGUUGUUCGGAAUUACUGGGCGUAAAGCGCACGUAGGCGGACAUUUAAGUCAGGGGUGAAAUCCCGGGGCUCAACCCCGGAACUGCCUUUGAUACUGGGUGUCUUGAGUUCGAGAGAGGUGAGUGGAAUUCCGAGUGUAGAGGUGAAAUUCGUAGAUAUUCGGAGGAACACCAGUGGCGAAGGCGGCUCACUGGCUCGAUACUGACGCUGAGGUGCGAAAGCGUGGGGAGCAAAC
rnacentral:rRNA from 1 species